rnacentral:rRNA from 1 species
UACGUAGGGGGCAAGCGUUGUCCGGAAUCAUUGGGCGUAAAGCGCGUGUAGGCGGCUUGGUAAGUCCGUUCUGAAAGCCCGGGGCUCAACCCCGGGAGGCGGAUGGAUACUGCCAAGCUCGAGUCCGGAAGAGGCAAGUGGAAUUCCCGGUGUAGCGGUGAAAUGCGCAGAUAUCGGGAGGAACACCAAUAGCGAAGGCAGCUCGCUGGGACGGUACUGACGCUAAGGCGCGAAAGCGUGGGGAGCGAACAGG